rnacentral:rRNA from 1 species
AACGAACGCUGGCGGCGUGCCUAACACAUGCAAGUCGAACGAGAAUCCGGGCUUCGGUCCGGUAGUAAAGUGGCGCACGGGUGAGUAACACGUGGGUAACGUACAUCGUAGUGGGGGAUAACCAGGUGAAAGCUUGGCUAAUACCGCAUGAGUCCGCUGGGGCGCAGGCCCUGGCGGGGAAAGUGGAGCAAUCCACGCUACGAGAUCGGCUCGCGGCCCAUUAGCUAGUUGGCGGGGUAACGGCUCACCAAGCCGAAGACGGGUAACCGGUCUGAGAGGAUGUCCGGUCACACUGGGACUGAGACACGGCCCAGACUCCUACGGGAGGCAGCAGCAGGGAAUCUUGGGCAAUGGGCGAAAGCCUGACCCAGCGACGCCGCGUGGAGGAAGAAGUCCUUCGGGGCGUAAACUCCUGGACUGGGGGACGAGUAAGGACGGUACCCACGUAGAAAGGGACGGCUAACUACGUGCCAGCAGCCGCGGUAAGAGUACUCUAU